GCCACGGUGGUCUAGCGGUUAGAACGCUGGCCUUGUAAUCCUGGGGUCUCGGGUUUGAUUCCCGGCGGUGCCC
rfam:Zootermopsis nevadensis contig5177, whole genome shotgun sequence.